rnacentral:rRNA from 1 species
UACCAGCACCCCGAGUGGUCGGGACGUUUAUUGGGCCUAAAGCAUCCGUAGCCGGUUCUACAAGUCUUCCGUUAAAUCCACCUGCUUAACAGAUGGGCUGCGGAAGAUACUAUGGAGCUAGGAGGCGGGAGAGGCAAGCGGUACUCGAUGGGUAGGGGUAAAAUCCGUUGAUCCAUUGAAGACCACCAGGUGGCGAAGGCGGUCUGCCAGUACGG